AAGUUACAAAAUAUUCUGAGGCGAAUUUUGACGCACCUGACUAUACACAUCAAGCGUGAUGCGAUUUUGCGACUUUCCGGGGGGAAAAAAGACGUGUCCUGGGUGGAGGCGAGAAGACUGACACAACAGCAGACUGAGUGUUUUUCAGUUCUGAUUAGACUCUAGUGUUGAGAUGUCUGUCUGUCAUGAUAGCAUGUACUGAGUCGGGGUCAGUACCAGAUAAGAACAUUAAACUAUAAUCCAUGAACGUAAGGUAACAACAGAGACCUAAUGGUGCUGUGACAGAAAAUACAAAUGGUAUGUUGUAUCUGAACAGGUUAGCUUACGAGCUAAAGUUACUUAGCACAGAUGAAAGUUAAAACAAAGAUGUUUAUUAAACUGUUAAAGCACACAAACCAUCGUCAUAUGAGAAAUCCGACGCUAUGACUCUCCACAAGUCGUCCUUCAGGUCGUUAUCUUUGUAAUAUUUGUGUUUUUUAUCAAAAAUCACUCUGUUCUCCGACACGUAAACAAUCAGCCGGUCGGCCAUGUUGGAUAUACCGGUGAAUCUGACGUAGCAACAGCAUGAAAUCUG